GUGAGACUCUUCUAUCACCGCGACCCGUUGAGUCCGUGACUCCUCGACCCCGCUCCCUCGUCUCCGUUCUUCUUUCGUGAGUCCACGACCUCUCACGGCGGCCGGCCGCGAGGUCCGCUCUACUCGGCUUGGCUACUUCCCUCGGAGUCCCCGUCUCCUGCAGUCGCGUUCCUGCUGUACGCUUCGCCUCUCCCUUCGCACUCCUCCUUCCCCAAUCCCAUGCCACCGACGCUGACUGCUCGCGCUACUGCAGCUUCGCCGCCGACGAUUCUGCUACUGAGCUGCGGUGGACUUAUCGGGUCUGCCACACCCGUCGGGGCUCCGCAACCCCUAUCGGGGACGGGGACGGGCGAAAGAUUGCGCCGAUACGGGGGCCGGGGGCGGGGAGCGGGGAAAAAUCCAGAUAUCGGGGACGGGGACGGGGUAGCACUCCCCGCCGGCAUGCCCCCGUUGCCAUCUUAGCGCCCAACAGCCAAUCAAGGAACCAGAGGGUUCUUGCUCCCCAUUUCCGCAAUUGGAGCCACCUGCUUUUACUUCCUCCUCUGUACUCGCGGAGUUACCAAAGCUUCAGAUUUCUUGCUUCUUGGCGGCAGUUUGGUAGGGGUUGGAGUGCCAGAGCCGGAGCCCGCUGGAAGCUGAUUUGGAUUGGUUCUUGAAUUGGGCGUGUCGGCCGGCGUCAGUGAGAAGUUUCCAUGGUUCUUGGUUUGCUGUUGGAGUGUAUGAGAUAACACAGGGAAGGAGAUUGCGGGAGGGUAACAGAGGUCGAGGAGCGGGCGGCGGGGCACGGGAUGAUGGAGCCCCAGGUGGUGGACCUCGAGGAUGACAGCAUCAACUUCUGGGCCUCCCUCGGUGUUAGCCCCCACGUGGACCAGAUGCCACUGCACAACGUCCAGAUCGUCGACCAUCAAGCUCAGCCACCACUGGCGGCGGCAGUGGCACAGCCGCAGUCCGUCUGCAGGGACCUCUUCCCGGUGGAGUCGGACGCCUGCCUGGAGCCUCGGCUGGGGAUGGAGUUUGAGUCUGGUGAGGCUGCCAAGACGUUCUACAUUGCUUAUGCUGGCCGUGUUGGGUUCUCCGUUCGCAUUGCCCGGUCACGCAAGUCUAAGUGCAGUGAGUCCAUUAUCAUGCUAAGAUUUGUGUGCUCAAGGGAAGGGUUCAGUAAGGAGAAACGUGUCGUCGCGGCUGCGAAGAAGACAAGGAAGCGCCCUGCCUCCAUCAGGGAGGGUUGCAAUGCCAUGCUUGAGGUGCUCCGCAGAGGUGAUAGCAAGUGGAUUGUUACCAAGCUUGUCAAGGAGCACAAUCAUGAGGUUGGGCUGCCCAGUCGAGUGCAGUAUAUCGCCAUCGAGAGUGAUACUGUUGUUGACCCUUACAUUGGUAUGGAAUUCGAGUCCCUUGAGUCCGCCAAGACAUUCUACUACUCGUAUGCCAGCCGUGUGGGGUUUGAAGCUCGUGUACGUCAGUCCCGCAAGUCGCAAGAUGAGUCACUUAAGAUGCUGAAGCUUGUGUGCUCUAGGCAUCGAUACCAUUCAGGGCGGGAGAACAAUGGAGAGGAUACCAAGAGAGUACGUGCAUUGGACCCCUCGAGGGAUGGUUGUGAUGCAUUGUUUGAGAUAAUUCGGAAGGGAAAAGAUACCUGGACGGUCUCCAAACUCAUCCUAGAGCAUACCCAUGAGCUGAACCCAGCACCAGCAAGCAAAGUUCACUGUGUUCGGUCACAAGGUGAGGUACUUGUCAUUGCAAAUAAUUUUGCGGACACACGUAAUCUCCUUCUGAAUGGCCAAGAUUCUCAGUAUCCAAGAGAGAUGAGGUAUAAUGAUUUAGGGCCAGAGGAUGCUCAAAGCCUAUUUGAAUACCUUAAGAAGCGACAGGAAGAGGACCCUUCAUUUUUCUAUGCUGUGCAGCAUGAAAUGAAUGGGCACAAUGCCAAUAUCUUCUGGGCUGAUGCUAAAGCUAGGAUGGCUUACUACCAUUUUGGUGAUGCUGUUAGGUUUGAGACAGCAUAUCGGAAAAACAAGGAGACUAUCCCUAUCGUCAUAUUCUCAGGUGUCAAUCAUCAUGUGCAGCCUGUUGUUUUUGGCUGUGCACUACUUCUUGAUGACUCUGAAGCAUCAUUUACAUGGUUGUUUGAGAAAUGGCUUGAAGCAAUGCACAUGGGUCCACCUGUUUCUUUGCUAUCAGAGUUGAACCAAGGAAUGACAGCUGCUGUUGCCAAGGUAUUACCCAAUACCCACCAUAUUUUCUGUGAAAAGCAUAUCUUAGACACAAUGAAGGAGGAUCUACAUGGUACGUGCCCAGAUCCAGAGGCUUUUGUAACUGACCUAAGGAAGUGCAUUGAUGGGUCCAGAAUAGAAGAACUGUUUGAUUCAGGUUGGAACUCGGUCAUCAUAAAGCAUGAGCUCAGCAACAAUGAGCUUUUACAGUCUCUCUAUGAUAUUCGCCAACAAUGGGCCCCGGCAUACACAAAAAAGGCAUUUUAUCCCAGAAACCUGAUGCCAACAAAAUGUGGAAGUAUCGAGAAGGCUAUUGAGAAGUACUUUUCGUCCAAGACUGAAUUGCGGGUGGCAGUUUGGCAACUUGGACAGGCAAUUUCUAGUUCAUUUGAAGCUGAAGUUCAGGCAGAUUAUUUCACAAUGUUUCAAAUGCCAGCGUUGAGUACAGCCUCACCAGUAGAAAAACAAGGGAGUUCAAUAUUCACUAGCACAAUAUUUGCCUUAUUUCAGGGGCAGUUUGUUGAUUCUUUUGGGUACCAUGCAGAGAGACUUGAUGAUGAUACAGUACACAAGUAUCGUGUCAAGAGAUAUGAAGGUGAUGAGGAGAUACAUACCGUCUAUUUCAAUCCCGAUCGAAGUACAGUGAAUUGUAGUUGCUGCCUGUUCGAGAGCUGUGGUAUCUUGUGCAGGCAUGCUCUCCGGAUUUUCAUUAUCGAAGGAGUACGUGAUCUUCCAAAGGCUUAUAUCCUGAAACGUUGGACAAAGCAUGCAAAAAAUAUUAUCACCUCUGAUAACUACACUGAUCUGAGGGGAGACCAUGAAGAUCCUUCAACUGCAAGGUUCAAUGAUUUGUGCUGUCAUGUGGUAAAAUUUGCAAAAGAAGGUUCAAAAUCCUCUGAAAUCUAUGCAGUCGCUAAAGAUGCACUAUCCAAGGCUUUUGAUGAGGUAGUACAGUCGUCGAAGAACUUUAGAGGGCAGAAAAAUCCGCAAAGCUAUACAAUGUCACUGAAAAGGCCAAUCAAGAAGUUUGGUAAGGCCAAAGAUUCCUCCGGUAAAAGCUCAAAGAGGUAGCUACCAAACUGCUUACAAGGUCACAUACCACACAAACAUUGUAAGGUAUGAUGGCACUUGCUCACUGUUUAUUUAUAACAUUGCUUGAAAAUGUGUAGCAGACAUUACAUUAUACAUAAUCACAUGUAGUGGUUAGUAUCCUUUGUCCUGAAUUCCAAUGGUCAAUGUUGCAAAACAUCAUUACUAUCACUACCUAAUAGUUACUGAGUCAUUCAUACCUGAAUUGAUUGGUGCCUUGGUGGCAUGUGCUCCCCCCUCUGCAUACCCCAUUCUUGGCAUCCUCUGUCUAAAAAAGAUCCCAUUCUUGGCAUAUAUCCAAUGGUCCUACUCAUCUGAAAAAAAGUUCCCUCUGCUUGUCUAACUUAGCUGCAUCUCAUGGCUUCACAAAUGGAACAGCUUCCUUUUGUCCUCCUGACCUUGGUAUGUUGGGCUCUGCUGCCAUUUAUGCAGCAUAGUAGAGCGCAACAAUAAUAACCAGAUUGAUGCUACUGAGUCAUUCUCUUCCAUUUAUGCAGCAUAGUUUGGCACAUACUAGAUUGAUGCUAUAUUGGGUCCCACUGCCAAGUUCAGAGUUAUUUAACUGGUCCAUGUAGAGCACAAGUUAAUGAGUGUGUUUUUGCAACUUCUGAAUUAUGUGAAUUUGUAUUCUAAAUUGCAGUCAGUUCUGAUAAGUUCCAUUAUAAAGUACACAUGGGGAUGACCAUUCAUGCGAUGAAGUGAAUAUACACAUGAACUUAUGCAGGCAUCAAACAUCAACACAUACAUGUGUAUGAAUGUCAGUUCACACUGCACAUGGGCCAAUUGAGCUCCUUUUGAAAUGUCUUGAUCUUCCUUAUAGGUAGUUUCUUCUGCUCACUUGGACAUCUUUGUAGAGUCUAGCACUUGCUUAUUCCUAGUUAGUUUUAGGGGCACCUUUAUUUCCACUCACUUUGAGAAGCAGUCAAAAUUUUCUCCUAGUCUUGGAAUGAGUUUAACACCACAUACAACAGCUCAGUUGAUGGUGAGACGUGUGCUGAAUGCUGGAAUGAGGCCUUCACAUUGGUUUUGCUCCAAUGGUACUCUACAAAUGAUGUAAUUCUUAUACUGUCGGAUGCUAGCACCGAAAGUGUUCAGUAGCAACUGCAUGCCAUAUUUCAAGUUGGCAGCAGGCUGAAAGAACAAAGAGCUUUUUGUUCACUUCAGUUUCUUUGAGAUCCUUCUUUUUGUGAGGGAGUUUCCGAAGAUCCUGUCAGCAUGAGCUUUGACAUGCUUUCAGCUGGAGGUCACUCUUUCUGUGUGUCGUCUUGUCAAUGUAAACAUGUUGUUACAGUACUGAGCAAAACAAAAAGAUGAGUGGAGUCAUCAAACAUUUCCCCCAUUACAGAAGCAAGUGUGAUGAAAAGGGUGCUGUUAGACAUGUUCCUUGGGGGCAAGAAGCUCAGUUGAACCUUUCUGGAACAGCUCCACGCAUGAACAUCACGACGCAACAUGGUCAGUGUACAGUGGAUGAUAAGUAAGAGCACGCACAGAAAGAGAAGGACCACUGGAGCAGCGUGCCAAGAUCUGUCGAGAUAGAAAGCAAGAACAUGUGUGCACAGACACGGCACAAGAUCUAGCUCGAGAAGCGAGCUGCGAUCGCCGCCGACUGUCGGCAUGCUGACCACUGUGGCAUCUUACCUGAGAACAGGAUACGAAUGGGAGGAGGAGGGGAAGGACCACCUUUCCUCCAUCAAAGAAUGCAAGGUGGGUGCAUCAGUGACCACUGAUCAGGCAUGUGCAACCUGCAUCAGGCUCUCCUCGUUUGGCUGGGUGUGCGUGCAAAAGAGAGGUGGUGAUGUUGGUGGUGGGUUUUCAGUUGCAAAUUGCAGUGUUUGGUGACAGUCGUGCGUGCUGUUGCAAGUGUCAUGCUCAGAAUGGGAGCUUUCAGUAAGUCCAGGCUCCUCCUUUGGUGCUUCCAGUCCCAGGCAGACGUGUCCCAGCAGCGGUCAUCUCCUCCCUGCUCAUGUCUCCAUCCGCCCGCUGAUCAUCCCCACCAAACCCGACGCCUCCGCCGGCCCACGGUCUCGCCGCGCGGCCGAGAUAGGGACGGAUGUGUGCUGUGUGUUGUCGCCGGCGUGGAGCAUGUGGCCGAACUGAUAGAGCACUUGGCUGGCUUGCCAUUGGCCGCCGGUGGCCAUGGGUGCAUGCCUGGGUUUCUUUAACCUCCCUAGCAUCAUCGGUUCUCGCUCACGGCUUUUCUUGCCUUGCUGAGUUCAUCACCUGCAUAAUGCAGGACACAUACAUGGCCGCUGUAUGUAGCUUGCUUAGUUCCCUCCCUCCCCAAUUAUCAUUCUAAUGUCAAACCUUUCUUAUCCUGCGGCUGGAUAAUUGAGUGUGCAUCACUUGGAUAAUAUUGUAAUUAGCUGUUGCAUCCCCUUUACUUGACUCAAUGUGGACCAAGUGAGUUCUCUUU